rnacentral:rRNA from 1 species
GACGAACGCUGGCGGCGUGCCUAAUACAUGCAAGUAGAACGCUGAAGGAGGAGCUUGCUCUUCUGGAUGAGUUGCGAACGGGUGAGUAACGCGUAGGUAACCUGCCUGGUAGCGGGGGAUAACUAUUGGAAACGAUAGCUAAUACCGCAUAACAUUGACUAUUGCAUGAUAGUCAAUUGAAAGGUGCAAAUGCACCACUACCAGAUGAACCUGCGUUGUAUUAGCUAGUUGGUGGGGUAACGGCUCACCAAGGCGACGAUACAUAGCCGACCUGAGAGGGUGAUCGGCCACACUGGGACUGAGACACGGCCCAGACUCCUACGGGAGGCAGCAGUAGGGAAUCUUCGGCAAUGGACGGAAGUCUGACCGAGCAACGCCGCGUGAGUGAAGAAGGUUUUCGGAUCGUAAAGCUCUGUUGUAAGAGAAGAACGAGUGUGAGAGUGGAAAGUUCACACUGUG